rnacentral:rRNA from 1 species
UACGAAGGGGGCGAGCGUUGUUCGGAAUUACUGGGCGUAAAGGGCGCGCAGGCGGCUCUGAAAGUCAGAUGUGAAAGCCCCGGGCUUAACCUGGGAACUGCAUCCGAUACUGGAUGGCUUGAAUCCGGGAGAGGGAUGCGGAAUUCCAGGUGUAGCGGUGAAAUGCGUAGAUAUCUGGAGGAACACCGGUGGCGAAGGCGGCAUCCUGGACCGGCAUUGACGCUGAGGAGCGAAAGCCAGGGGAGCAAACGGG